UGAGUAACCUGCCCUUAACUCUGGGAUAAGCCUGGGAAACUGGGUCUAAUACCGGAUAUGACUCCUCAUCGCAUGGUGGGGGGUGGAAAGCUUUAUUGUGGUUUUGGAUGGACUCGCGGCCUAUCAGCUUGUUGGUGAGGUAAUGGCUCACCAAGGCGACGAUCCGUAGCUGGUCUGAGAGGAUGAUCAGCCACACUGGGACUGAGACACGGCCCAGACUCUACGGGAGG
rnacentral:rRNA from 1 species